UAGUCCAUGCCGUAAACGAUGGGUGCUAGUUAUGUCGGGUAUUGACCCUCGGCGUGACGUAGCUAACGCGUUAAGCACCCCGCCUGGGGAGUACGGUCGCAAGAUUAAAACUCAAAUGAAUUGACGGGGGCCCGCACAAGCGGUGGAGCAUGUGGUUUAAUUCGAUGCAACGCGAAGAACCUUACCAUCCCUUGACAUCCAGAGAAUUCGCUAGAGAUAGCUUAGUGCCUUCGGGAACUCUGAGACAGGCGCUGCAUGGCUGUCGUCAGCUCGUGUUGUGAAAUGUUGGGUUAAGUCCCGCAACGAGCGCAACCCUUGUCCUUAUUUGCCAGCACUUCGGGUGGGAACUUUAAGGAGACUGCCGGUGAUAAACCGGAGGAAGGUGGGGACGACGUCAAGUCAUCAUGGCCCUUACGGGAUGGGCUACACACGUGCUACAAUGGCGCAUACAGAGUGCUGCGAACUUGCGAGAGUAAGCGAAUCACUUAAAGUGCGUCGUAGUCCGGAGUUG
rnacentral:rRNA from 1 species